rnacentral:rRNA from 1 species
GACGAACGCUGGCGGCGUGCUUAACACAUGCAAGUCGAACGGAAAGGCCCUGCUUUUGUGGGGUGCUCGAGUGGCGAACGGGUGAGUAACACGUGAGCAACCUGCCCUUGACUUUGGGAUAACUUCAGGAAACUGGGGCUAAUACCGGAUAGGAGCUCCUGCUGCAUGGUGGGGGUUGGAAAGUUUCGGCGGUUGGGGAUGGACUCGCGGCUUAUCAGCUUGUUGGUGGGGUAGUGGCUUACCAAGGCUUUGACGGGUAGCCGGCCUGAGAGGGUGACCGGCCACAUUGGGACUGAGAUACGGCCCAGACUCCUACGGGAGGCAGCAGUGGGGAAUAUUGCACAAUGGGCGGAAGCCUUAUGCAGCAACGCCGCGUGCGGGAUGACGGCCUUCGGGUUGUAAACCGCUUUCGCCUGUGACGAAGCGUGAGUGACGGUAAUGGGUAAAGAAGCACCAGCUAACUACGUG